UGAUUAUGGCUCAGGAUGAACGCUAGCUACAGGCUUAACACAUGCAAGUCGAGGGGCAGCAUGACGAUAGCUUGCUAUUGUUGAUGGCGACCGGCGCACGGGUGAGUAACGCGUAUCCAACCUGCCCUUGUCCAUCGGAUAACCCGUCGAAAGGCGGCCUAACACGAUAUGCAGUCCACAGAAGGCAUCUGACGCGGACGAAAUGUAAAGGAGAAGGAUGGGGAUGCGUCUGAUUAGCUUGUUGGCGGGGUAACGGCCCACCAAGGCGACGAUCAGUAGGGGUUCUGAGAGGAAGGUCCCCCACAUUGGAACUGAGACACGGUCCAAACUCCUACGGGAGGCAGCAGUGAGGAAUAUUGGUCAAUGGGCGAGAGCCUGAACCAGCCAAGUAGCGUGCAGGAAGACGGCCCUAUGGGUUGUAAACUGCUUUUAUGCGGGGAUAAAGUGAGCCACGUGUGGCUUAUUGCAGGUACCGCAUGAAUAAGGACCGGCUAAUUCCGUGCCAGCAGCCGCGGUAAUACGGAAGGUCCGGGCGUUAUCCGGAUUUAUUGGGUUUAAAGGGAGCGUAGGCCGUCUGGUAAGCGUGUUGUGAAAUGUCGGGGCUCAGCCUGGGCAUUGCAGCGCGAACUGUCAGACUUGAGUGCGCGGGAAGUAGGCGGAAUUCGUCGUGUAGCGGUGAAAUGCUUAGAUAUGACGAAGAACUCCGAUUGCGAAGGCAGCCUGCUGUAGCGCAACUGACGCUGAAGCUCGAAAGCGUGGGUAUCGAACAGGAUUAGAUACCCUGGUAGUCCACGCGGUAAACGAUGGAUGCUCGCUGUUUGCGUCUGACGUAAGCGGCCAAGCGAAAGCGUUAAGCAUCCCACCUGGGGAGUACGCCGGCAACGGUGCAA
rnacentral:rRNA from 1 species